rnacentral:rRNA from 1 species
GUUUACGGGAUUGUGUGCCGACGUGCGCCAUCCAUCCUUCGAGAGAACACUUCUACCCUUCACUGGGUCGGGAGUGCUAUCUCGAUCUUUUACUUUGAAAAAAUUAGAGUGUUUAAAGCAGGCUUGCGCUAUGAAUACAUUAGCAUGGAAUAAUAAUUUAGGACUUUGGUCUUAUUUUGUUGGUUUCUAGGACUAAAGUAAUGAUUGAUAGGGACAGUUGGGGGUGCUAGUAUUCAGCGGC